GCAGACAUGGCCGAGUGGUUUAAGGCGAUGGUUUUAAGUUCUAUUCACAAUCAAUGAUUUAUCACCAUUAUCGAGAGAUGCGUGGGUUCGAACCCCACUGUCUGCA